rnacentral:rRNA from 1 species
GUGCCAGCAGCCGCGGUAAUACGUAGGGGGCUAGCGUUAUCCGGAAUUACUGGGCGUAAAGGGUGCGUAGGCGGAUGUUUAAGUGGGAUGUGAAAUCCCCGGGCUUAACCUGGGGGCUGCAUUCCAAACUGGAUAUCUAGAGUGCAGGAGAGGAAAGCGGAAUUCCUAGUGUAGCGGUAAAAUGCGUAGAGAUUAGGAAGAACACCAGUGGCGAAGGCGGCUUUCUGGACUGUAACUGACGCUGAGGCACGAAAGCGUGGGUAGCAAACAGGAUUAGAUACCCUGGUAGUCC